AGACGUCUGGGCCGCACGCGCGCUACACUGACGGAGCCAGCGAGUAUUAACCUUGGCCGAGAGGUCUGGGAAAUCUUGUGAAACUCCGUCGUGCUGGGGAUAGAGCAUUGUAAUUAUUGCUCUUCAACGAGGAAUUCCUAGUAAGCGCAAGUCAUCAGCUUGCGUUGAUUACGUCCCUGCCCUUUGUACACACCGCCCGUCGCUACUACCGAUUGAAUGGCUUAGUGAGGCCUCCGGAUUGGUUUAAAGAAGGGGGCAACUCCAUCUUGGAACCGAAAAGCUGGUCAAACUUGGUCAUUUAGAGGAAGUAAAAGUCGUAACAAGGUUUCCGUAGGUGAACCUGCGGAAGGAUCAUUACAGUAUUCUUUUGCCAGCGCUUAACUGCGCGGCGAAAAACCUUACACACAGUGUCUUUUUGAUACAGAACUCUUGCUUUGGUUUGGCCUAGAGAUAGGUUGGGCCAGAGGUUUAACAAAACACAAUUUAAUUAUUUUUAUUGAUAGUCAAAUUUUGAAUUAAUCUUCAAAACUUUCAACAACGGAUCUCUUGGUUCUCGCAUCGAUGAAGAACGCAGCGAAAUGCGAUAAGUAAUAUGAAUUGCAGAUUUUCGUGAAUCAUCGAAUCUUUGAACGCACAUUGCGCCCUCUGGUAUUCCAGAGGGCAUGCCUGUUUGAGCGUCAUUUCUCUCUCAAACCCCCGGGUUUGGUAUUGAGUGAUACUCUUAGUCCGAACUAGGCGUUUGCUUUGAAAAAGUAUUGGCAUGGGGUAGUACUGGAUAAGUGCUGUCCAACCUCUCAAUGUAUUAGGGUUUUAUCCCACCUCCCUUUAAAUGGGGG
rnacentral:rRNA from 1 species